UACGGAGGGAGCUAGCGUUGUUCGGAAUUACUGGGCGUAAAGCGCGCGUAGGCGGCUUUGUAAGUUAGAGGUGAAAGCCCGGGGCUCAACCCCGGAACUGCCUUUAAGACUGCAUCGCUUGAAUCCGGGAGAGGUGAGUGGAAUUCCGAGUGUAGAGGUGAAAUUCGUAGAUAUUCGGAAGAACACCAGUGGCGAAGGCGGCUCACUGGACCGGCAUUGACGCUGAGGUGCGAAAGCCAGGGGAGCAAACGGG
rnacentral:rRNA from 1 species